GGUUUAAGUCGUAAUAUGGUAAUUGCUGGUAUAUUAGUAAUUGUAA
rnacentral:rRNA from 1 species